GAUGAAGAACGUAGCGAAAUGCGAUACGUAAUGUGAAUUGCAGAAUUCAGUGAAUCAUCGAAUCUUUGAACGCAUAUUGCGCUCUCUGGUAUUCCGGAGAGCAUGCUUGUUUGAGUAUCAGUAAACACCUCAACUUCCAUAUCUUUUUUGAAAUGGGAGUUGGACUUGAGUGAUCCCAACGCUUUUCCUCACCGAAAAGUGGCGGGUUACUUGAAAUGCAGGUGCAGCUGGACUUUUCUCUGAGCUAUAAGCAUAUCUAUUUAGUCUGCCUAAAAAACAGAUUAUUACCUUUGCUGCAGCUAACAUAAAGGAGAUUAGUUCUUGUGCUGACUGAUGCAGGAUUCACAAAGACGGCUUCGGCCGACUUUGUAAACUCGAUCUCAAAUCAAGUAAGACUACCCGCCGAACUUAAGCAUAUCAAUAAGCGGAGGA
rnacentral:misc_RNA from 1 species